UUGAAAGGGAAGCGCUUGCGGCCAGACUUGCCUGCAGUUGCUCAGCCCGCCUUUUGGCGGGUGCACUCUUCUGCAGUCAGGCCAGCAUCGGUUUGGGCGGUCGGAGAAAGGCGUUGGGAACGUGGCCUCCCCUCGGGGAGGUGUUAUAGCCCGGCGCGUAAUGCGACCAGCCUGGACCGAGGUUCGCGCUUUGCUAGGAUGCUGGCGUAAUGGCCGUAAGCGGCCCGUCUUGAAACACGGACCAAGGAGUCUAACAUCUAUGCGAGUGUUUGGGUGUCAAACCCGUGCGCGUAAUGAAAGUGAACGGAGGUGGGAACCGCAAGGUGCACCAUCGACCGAUCCUGAUGUCUUCGGAAGGAUUUGAGUAAGAGCAUAGCUGUUGGGACCCGAAAGAUGGUGAACUAUGCGUGAAUAGGGUGAAGCCAGAGGAAACUCUGGUGGAGGCUCGCAGCGGUUCUGACGUGCAAAUCGAUCGUCAAAUUUGCGUAUAGGGGCGAAAGACUAAUCGAACCAUUUAGUAGCUGGUUCCCGCCGAAGUUUCCCUCAGGAUAGCAGUAACGUUUUCAGUUUUAUGAGGUAAAGCGAAUGAUUAGAGGCCUGGGGGAUGAAACUAUCCUUCACCUAUUCUCAAACUUUAAAUAUGUAAGAAGUCCUUGUUACUUAGUUGAACGUGGACAUUUGAAUGCACCGUUACUAGUGGGCCAUUUUUAGUAAGCAGAACUGGCGAUGCGGGAUGAACCGAACGGGGGGUUAAGGUGCCGGAAUGCACGCUCAUCAGACACCACAAAAGGUGUUGGUUCAUCUAG
rnacentral:rRNA from 1 species